UGCUGGUAGUGUGGGGAUAUCUGAAUCGAGUAUGUAGCCUAUUUUCUCACAGUCCAAAACAAUUUUGAGAUUUCUAAGCCAGUCCUUAUAAUUGGUUCCGGUCAGUCGGUUGGUCUCAAGAAUACGGGUCAAAGGGUUUGAAGCCGACAUUGUAUCUGCAGAGAGUAAAGAUUCUAGUUAGACUUUUGUACUUGAUCCUAAUCUGUUCUAAGGUCUUUUAGAACAGAUGUGACUCCCACUAUUUUCUCGAAUCCUUACACUCCCCUGGUAGGAAAACGGAAAUCCCACACGACUAGGGUUUCUAACGGGUACUGCGGUCCCACCAAUUUACAUGCCACCUCACCUAACAGUUAUUGGUGACACAUAGAUGGAUGAGUGUACAACUCUUGUACAAUGCUUCUCAAGCAUGUUGCAGUGUAACUCGGUCUCUAAGCCAUGAAGACCUCACCUAACAGUUAUUGGUCCCAUUUCUUAGUUAAGUCUGACCCACCGUAUAACCGUAGGAAUAAAGUCGUCAUUGGGUCCUCACCUAACAGUUAUUGGUGCCCAACCCCACCUUUACCCUACAACAUCUCAUGUCUAUAGAGAGGUCCAGCCCCCCGAUGCAACUUGACCACUGUAUCCAGCCGAGACAAAUCAACAUCAGAAAGCCUUAGCAGCUCUACUACAGUGGAAGACCUAUU
rnacentral:lncRNA from 1 species